ACGGUCACUGUGCCAUCGCUGCGUUUCCGCAUCUACCACUUGAAUGCAGGAAUCUGUAGUACCGCCAGGACUGGAGACGCAAACUUCAGCCAAGCCAGUGAAGACCUGAGGCCUGUCAACAUCCAUAUGGGAAACAGAUCCUUCCCAGUUGAGCCUUGAGCUAACCGCAGCCACAGAUGACACCUUGAUCGUAGCCUUGUGAGAGACCUGCACCGGAACGACCCAGCUCAGCUGGUGGUUCCUGACCUGCAGCAACUGUAAGGUGACUGAACAGCGUCAAAGAGAUGGGGAGAGAGAGACAUGCUGGCAAAAAGACAGAGUGAGGACGGAGCAAAGCCCCAAUGCUUACGAUGAAGAAAAAGAUGUCAAUAGAGAUGUGAAAAGGAAAGCUUGAAUUAUGAUACUCCUCCGAUCCAGAACGCCAUUGAGAAACCUGGGUUGGUACAGUGGAGGAUAAAAUCAGCCUCAAGGCCACAUAGCCUGAACAAGAUUUCAAGCAUGUGGAACUUCCCCGACCAGGGAUUGAACCUGUGCCCCCUGAAGUGGAAGCGUGGAGUCUUAACCGCUGGACCAUCGAUGAAGUCCCAGAAAAAGUC